rnacentral:lncRNA from 1 species
GUACACACUAAGUAACUUUAGGCAGCCGUACACACUAAGUAACUAUAGGCAGACGUAUACACACUAAGUAACUAUAGGCAGACGUACACACUAAGUAACUUUAGGCAGACGUAUACACACUAAGUAACUAUAGGCAGACGUAUACACACUAAGUAACUAUAUGCAGACGUAUACACUCUAAGUAACUAUAGGCAGACGUACACACUCUAAGUAACUAUAGGUAGACGUACACACUAAGUAACUAUAGGCAGACGUACACACUCAAAGUAACUAUAGGCAGACGUAUACACACUAAGUAACUAUAGGCAGACGUACACACUAAGUAACUUUAGGCAGCCGUACACACUAAGUAACUAUAGGCAGACGUAUACACACUAAGUAACUAUAGGCAGACGUACACACUAAGUAACUUUAGGCAGACGUAUACACACUAAGUAACUAUAGGCAGACGUACACACUAAGUAACUAUAGGCAGACGUAUACACACUAAGUAACUAUAGGCAGACGUACACACUAAGUAACUAUAGGCAGACGUACACACUCGAAGUAACUAUAGGCAGACGUAUACACUCUAAGUAACUAUAGGCAGACGUACACACUAAGUAACUAUAGGCAGACGUAUACACACUAAGUAACUAUAGGCAGACGUACACACUAAGUAACUAUAGGCAGACGUAUACACACUAAGUAACUAUAGGCAGACGUACACACUAAGUAACUUUAGGCAGACGUACACACUAAGUAACUAUAGGCAGACGUACACACUAAGUAACUAUAGGCAGACGUAUACACACUAAGUAACUAUAGGCAGACGUACACACUAAGUAACUAUAGGCAGACGUAUACACUCUAAGUAACUAUAGGCAGACGUACACACUAAGUAACUAUAGGCAGACGUACACACUCGAAGUAACUAUAGGCAGACGUAUACACUCUAAGUAACUAUAGGCAGACGUACACACUAAGUAACUAUAGGCAGACAUAUACACUCUAAGUAACUAUAGGCAGACGUACACACUAAGUAGCUAUAGGCAGACGUACACACUCUAAGUAACUAUAGGCAGACGUAUACACACUAAGUAACUAUAGGCAGACGUACACACUAAGUAAAGAUAGGCAGACGUACACACUAAGUAACUAUAGGCAGACGUAUACACACUAAGUAACUAUAGGUAGACGUACACACUAAAUAACUAUAGGCAGACGUAUACACACUAAGUAACUAUAGGCAGACGUGUACACACUAAGUAACUAUAGGCAGACGUACACACUAAGUAACUUUAGGCAGACGUACACACUAAGUAACUAUAGGAAGACGUACACACUAAGUAACUAUAGGCAGACGUACACACUAAGUAACUUUUGGCAGACGUAUACACACUAAGUAACUAUAGGCAGACGUACACACUAAGUAACUAUAGGCAGACGUAUACACACUAAGUAACUAUAGGCAGACGUACACACUAAGUAACUUUAGGCAGACGUAUACACACUAAGUAACUUUAGGCAGACGUACACACUAAGUAACUAUAGGCAGACGUAUACACACUAAGUAACUAUAGGCAGACGUAUACACACUAAGUAACUAUAGGCAGACGUACACACUAAGUAACUAUAGGCAGACGUAUACACACUAAGUAACUAUAGGCAGACGUACACACUAAGUAACUUUAGGCAGCCGUACACACUAAGUAUCUAUAGGCAGACGUAUACACACUAAGUAACUAUAGGCAGACGUACACACUAAGUAACUUUAGGCAGACGUAUACACACUAAGUAACUAUAGGCAGACGUACACACUAAGUAACUAUAGGCAGACGUAUACACACUAAGUAACUAUAGGCAGACGUACACACUAAGUAACUAUAGGCAGACGUAUACACUCUAAGUAACUAUAGGCAGAUGUGCACACUAAGUAACUAUAGGCAGACGUAUACACACUAAGUAACUAUAGGCAGACGUACACACUAAGUAACUAUAGGCAGACGUAUACACUCUAAGUAACUAUAGGCAGACGUAUACACUCUAAGUAACUAUAGGCAGACGUAUACACACUAAGUAACUAUAAUCAGACGUAUACACACUAAGUAACUAUAAGCAGACGUAUACACUCUAAGUAACUAUAGGCAGAUGUGCACACUAAGUAACUAUAGGCAGACGUAUACACACUAAGUAACUAUAGGUAGACGUACACACUAAGUAACUAUAGGCAGACGUAUACACACUAAGUAACUAUAGGCAGACGUACACACUAAGUAACUAUAGGCAGACGUACACACUAAGUAACUUUAGGCAGACGUACACACUAAGUAACUAUAGGCAGACGUACACACUAAGUAACUAUAGGCAGACGUACACACUAAGUAACUAUAGGCAGACGUACACACUCUAAGUAACUAUAGGCAGACGUACACACUAAGUAACUAUAGGCAGACGUACACACUCGAAGUAACUAUAGCCAGACGUAUACACACUAAGUAACUAUAGGCAGACGUAUACACACUAAGUAACUAUAGGCAGACGUAUACACUCUAAGUAACUAUAGGCAGACGUAUACACACUAAGUAACUAUAGGCAGACGUAUACACUCUAAGUAACUAUAGGCAGACAUGUACACACUCUAAGUAACUAUAGGCAGACGUACACACUAAGUAACUAUAGGCAGACGUACACACUCAAAGUAACUAUAGGCAGACGUAUACACUCUAAGUAACUAUAGGCAGACGUACACACUAAGUAACUAUAGGCAGACGUACACACUCUAAGUAACUAUAGGCAGACGUAUACACACUAAGUAACUAUAGGCAGACGUACACACUAAGUAACGAUAGGCAGACGUACACACUAAGUAACUAUAGGCAGACGUAUACACACUAAGUAACUAUAGGCAGACGUACACACUAAGUAACUAUAGGCAGACGUAUACACACUAAGUAACUAUAGGCAGACGUAUACACACUAAGUAACUAUAGGCAGACGUACACACUAAGUAACUAUAGGCAGACGUAUACACACUAAGUAACUAUAGGCAGACGUACACACUAAGUAACUUUAGGCAGACGUAUACACACUAAGUAACUAUAGGCAGACGUACACACUAAGUAACUAUAGGCAGACGUAUACACACUAAGUAACUAUAGGCAGACGUAUACACACUAAGUAACUAUAAUCAGACGUAUACACUCUAAGUAACUAUAGGCAGACGUACACACUAAGUAACUAUAGGCAGACGUACACACUCGAAGUAACUAUAGGCAGACGUAUACACUCUAAGUAACUAUAGGCAGACGUAUACACUCUAAGUAACUAUAGGCAGACGUAUACACACUAAGUAACUAUAUGCAGACGUAUACACUCUAAGUAACUAUAGGCAGACAUGUACACACUCUAAGUAACUAUAGGCAGACGUACACACUAAGUAACUAUAGGCAGACGUACACACUCAAAGUAACUAUAGGCAGACGUAUACACUCUAAGUAACUAUAGGCAGACGUAUACACUCUAAGUAACUAUAGGCAGACGUAUACACUCUGAGUAACUAUAGGCAGACGUAUACACACUAAGUAACUAUAAUCAGACGUAUACACACUAAGUAACUAUAAUCAGACGUAUACACACUAAGUAACUAUAGGCAGACGUGCACACUAAGUAACUAUAGGCAGACGUAUACACACUAAGUAACUAUAGGUAGAUGUACACACUAAGUAACUAUAGGCAGACGUAUACACACUAAGUAACUAUAGGCAGACGUACACACUAAGUAACUAUAGGCAGACGUAUACACUAAGUAACUUUAGGCAGACGUACACACUAAGUAACUAUAGGCAGACGUACACACUAAGUAACUUUAGGCAGACGUACACACUAAGUAACUAUAGGCAGACGUACACACUCUAAGUAACUAUAGGCAGACGUACACACUAAGUAACUAUAGGCAGACGUACACACUCGAAGUAACUAUAGGCAGACGUAUACACACUAAGUAACUAUAGGCAGACGUAUACACACUAAGUAACUAUAUGCAGACGUAUACACUCUAAGUAACUAUAGGCAGACAUGUACACACUCUAAGUAACUAUAGGCAGAUGUACACACUAAGUAACUAUAGGCAGACGUACACACUCAAAGUAACUAUAGGCAGACGUAUACACUCUAAGUAACUAUAGGCAGACGUACACACUAAGUAACUAUAGGCAGACGUACACACUCUAAGUAACUAUAGGCAGACGUAUACACACUAAGUAACUAUAGGCAGACGUACACACUAAGUAAAGAUAGGCAGACGUACACACUAAGUAACUAUAGGCAGACGUAUACACACUAAGUAACUAUAGGUAGACGUACACACUAAAUAACUAUAGGCAGACGUACACACUAAAUAACUAUAGGCAGACGUGUACACACUAAGUAACUAUAGGCAGACGUGUACACACUAAGUAACUAUAGGCAGACGUGUACACACUAAGUAACUAUAGGCAGACGUACACACUAAGUAACUUUAGGCAGACGUACACACUAAGUAACUAUAGGCAGACGUAUACACACUAAGUAACUAUAGGCAGACGUACACACUAAGUAACUAUAGGCAGACGUAUACACACUAAGUAACUAUAGGCAGACGUACACACUAAGUAACUAUAGGCAG